rnacentral:lncRNA from 1 species
GUUUACAUUAGGUAUUCAGAAGUCGAAUCACAUUGAUCUGCCUUUUGAAGUAAUUACAUUGAUCUCCAGAGUUUAAAGAAAUGUAUUGCUUAUUCCCUGUGGGUAUUUUCAAAACCCAUUUUUUUUUUAACCAAAGCAGUUUUCUUUUCCCUCUAAUUUGAGUCACAAAGAAAAGCAUCUUCCUGAAGUGCAGAAUAAAUUAUUGUAUAGGAAUAUGUGCAUGUGUGUAUGUGGGUAUGUGUACUCUCUAGAACCUCCUGAAAUGAGUUUUCUGUUUUUUAUUUUAAAUGAGAGUUUUUAAGUGAGAGUCAAAAGUUUGCUCCGUUAAACUCACCUGUUUAAAAAAACUCACUUCUUUUGCUGAGGAAGAUUCACCCUGAACUAACAUCUGUGCCAGUCAUCCUCUAUUUUGUUUGUGGGAUGCCACCAUAGCAUAGCUAAUGAGUAGUGAGGCUCCACACCUAGGAUCUGAACACGCGAACCUGGGCCGCCAAAGCGGAGCGCACUGAACUUAACCACUAGACAACAGGGUUGGUCCCUAAAAUAUUUUUAAAUAGACAAUAAACUAAAAUGUAUUUCCCACCACUCUGACUGGGUAUACAGAAUAAAAUUUACGCAUUUCCUUGUCUUAGCACAGUCUGAGUGAAAAGGUAUUCUGUACAACGUUUGAAAGAAGGGCCCACUGAAGACUAUUUGCUCCUACAGGACGUGAACCCAGGUUAUUUUGCUCUUUGAAUUUUUGCACGUAUAUUUUAUGGUUUUCUCAUUUUUCCCCGUACUUUCAAUCGUUACUUCAUGUUGCCAUCAAUAUGCCAAAGCAGUAGGGAGGACUCCUUCUAUUUCUAGACUACAGAGGCCUUGGAAGGCUGGUAGCCACACUGAGUUUGUUAGAAACAUGUAUAGAGUAAGAAGGAGGGUAGGGGCCCAACUGAGGAAGAGGAUGGCCCUUCGUGAAGUGGCAGAUACUUCACAACGUCUACUCAAGACAUACUUUUUAAUUGUUUUCUCGUUCUUGUUUUCCCAAAAGGGGGAGAGAAGAGAUACAAAGUACUCGAGAGUUUCACAUAGUUAAUGAGGUUCAUCCUGGAAGUUUCUGGAACUCAUUUGGGCCCAUACUGGCCAGAAAUGCUGGGCCAAAUAAAGGAUAUUCAGUCUGUAUUCA